rnacentral:rRNA from 1 species
GUGUCAGCCGCCGCGGUAAUACGGGAGUGGCAAGCGUUAUCCGGAAUUAUUGGGCGUAAAGCGUCCGCAGGUGGCUCUGUAAGUCUGUCGUUAAAGCGUGGAGCUUAACUCCAUUUAAGCGAUGGAAACUACAGGGCUAGAGUGUGGUAGGGGCAGAGGGAAUUCCCGGUGUAGCGGUGAAAUGCGUAGAUAUCGGGAAGAACACCAGUGGCGAAGGCGCUCUGCUGGGCCAUCACUGACACUCAUGGACGAAAGCCAGGGGAGCGAAAGGGAUUAGAUACCCCUGUAGUCCUGGCCGUAAACGAUGAACACUAGGUGUCGGGGGAAUCGACCCCCUCGGUGUCGUAGCCAACGCGUUAAGUGUUCCGCCUGGGGAGUACGCACGCAAGUGUGAAACUUAAAGGAAUUGGCGGGG